rnacentral:lncRNA from 1 species
CGAUUUUUUGGCCUUCGCAAUAAGGUAAUAUGUCCCGGGAUAUUGAAUUUAUGUCAGUUUUCAAAUUUCUUAUGAAAAUGAGAUGAAAUAAUGAAUUUAUUUUUCUUUCAAACAAACCCCCAAUAAGGUUCUCGUAUUGCUUAUCUUUUUUUAAAAGAUAGCAACCUGUUUUAAUUACGGAGUGCAGGACUCCUCCAAAUACGCGCCUGAAUACAGUGUUUUUACUUUUAAAAUUGCAUUAAGACAGUACAUAUUCCAACUUGUUUGAGCACGCCUAAAGAUUUUUGACGUGAAAUUAUAAGUGUAUAAUGAUAACUUGCAGAUUGGAUGCAUUUUAUGUUAUAAUUGGCCUUAUUGGAAUUACGAUCCAUGUCAACUUUAACUUGCAUUAACCUCGGGGUCAUUCGUAUAAAUAAAUAAAUAAAUAAUUAAAUAAGAAUAAAUAAAUAAAUCUUUAUUUAAAGAGAGUAACUCAUUUGGAUUAAAUCAAUUUUCAAUAAGGCUCUCUAUAGACACAAUAUUAACAACAUGAAUAAACAUAAUCUACUACUACGGUUUUUUUUAACGACCUUGACAAAAGCCCUUGCACGGUUGAUAUAAACCAAAUCAAUCUAGCAAUACACAAUGAUGAAUAAUAGUAUAAAUAUUAAAUUACAUAAACAAAUACAUGAACAAAACGGAUUACAUGAUAGUGUUUUGAGUUUUAUUGUUAAAAUAUAUAAUGAUUUGUAAGUAUACUUGAAUG